CGCCUGAUCCUAACGCUUCCAGCGAGAGCUGAAUGAGGGAGGGGAGGCGGGCUGGGGUUUCAUUCGACGCCCACCAGGGGCUGAGUGAGCCUCCUUCAGUGCGCAAACUCGGGGCACCAGAUAAAAGCUGGGCUGGCAGCUCUUACUCUGCCUUGAUGGAGCCGAGACAGUCGAGUGGCAGAAGAAGGAAGUUAGGAACAGGCUAGAGUAGCUCACUCCCCAACCCGCCUUGCUUGGGCACAAAGAGAGUCUGUGGGGGACUGAAGGAGGAAGAAGCUGAGGUGGAAAAGGCUCUGUCUGCUGCCCGACUGGACCCAGAGAAGGCGGCUGUAAUGGGGCACUAAGUGAACUGAUGUGUGAUGGCUAUGCGGAAGAAACUUAGACUUGCUUCCACAGAAGUAGUUCCUUCUGGGUUAGACUGGAAUAAAUGCUGUUUGUGCCAACUACAAGGUGACCUCAUCUGUCCAGCUGAAAAUCUUAAUUCAAAACAACGGAGUGCCGGGUACAAGACACUAUUAGAAAAUCUAGUGAAAUUUAAAGAACUUGGAAGAUUACCACAUGAUGUAAAAAUUGAAUAUUUUGACGAAGGAGAAGGAAUGCAGCAUACCUUUGAAAGACAUAAGGCACGUUGGCAUAAAAAAUGUUCACUUAAGUACAAAAAAAAUCUGAACCGUGCAGUUAAACGUUCACAGUCUUGUAACCAGGAAGUGACAAUUCAAAAUGAGCCACAAUUGUGUGGGGAAUCAUCAACACAGACGCCAUGCAAGACAUGUCAAGCAUCCACACCAUCUCCAAGACUUACUGACAAUAUUUGUUUUUUAUGCACUAAAGGACCACUUUGGAAUCAGCCGCUGCCAAUGUUGCAACUACGGCAGUUGAUAAAUAUGUUCGUGAAAAAGCAUCACUCAUUGAUAACACUGAUCUUCAGGCUAUAACGGAAGGUACAGAUUUAAUAGCGAAGUACCACGUCAGAUGCAUGGCCAACCUAUGCCACAAAGCAAGAUCUGUAGAAACGCAAAAGCAACAGCAACAUGUCUAUGAAGACACUGUCAGUCCAUAGCUUUCGCACAUAUUGAAUCAUUUAUAAGUGAAAAACUGGUUUCUGAAGAUACAGAGUACAUAUUCCCUAUGGGGAGUAUAUUAAAAUUGUUCAGGACAAAACUGAUGGAGCUCACAGGACUGGAUGCACAACCAGAAGUUCAUACAACCAGAUUUAGAGAGAGACUUCUCUACCAUUUCCCUCAACUUCGGGCCGAGAAGACAAGCAAAGAAUAUGUUCUAGUCCAAGAUAAUACAAAUAUUUUCCAUGAUGUAGCACCCGAAGACAUUGAUGCCGAUGCUAUAGAAUUCCAAAGAUUUAUUAUGUGGUUGAGAAAAGAGAUGUUUCAGUGUACUACUAAUUUCAAUGGAAGUUUUGAUACUGACUGCCAGAAGUCAUCAGUUCCCUUGGGUUUGCUUGCAACAUUAAAUUUAUUGCUUUAUGGUAGUACUAAAGUGAAAGACAGUAAGUCUACACAACCAGCUUUAACCAUCGCUCAGCUAAUACUUUUCAAUCACACAAAAAAUGGUCCAAGUGGAAAUCAAGUCCUGCAGAAGAAAACAUAUGAACCAUCCCUUAUGAAGUCUACUCACCCAAUAGUAGAAGAAGAACCAUUUGAGGACACUGAUGUUGUAUUGUAAUAUUUAAGUGCCUAAACAUCAGACAGUGAUUUAAUUUAAUUAUUUCUUAAAUGUGGUUUAAUUUACGUAUACUUCAAUAUAUACCAAUGUUACACAUUAAAUUUAGAAAUGAAGAAUACUGUAAUAACAGUUAAUAGUUCAUAUUUUUGGUUGUUUUUCCCCUAUAUAAAUUAAAAAAUUGAUAUAUUUUAAACAUUGGAUGGGUCUGUUAAAUGAAUAGUGAAGAAAUGUUUACAAUAAAAAAGUAUUUUUGUUUUUCUCAUUUUUAAGCAAAUUUAUUAAAAUACCUACUUUAAAAUA